rnacentral:rRNA from 1 species
UACGUAGGGUGCAGGCGUUAAUCGGAAUUACUGGGCGUAAAGCGUGCGCAGGCGGUUUGCUAAGACAGGUGUGAAAUCCCCGGGCUAACCUGGGAACUGCGCUUGUAACUGGCAAGCUAGAGUGUGGCAGAGGGGGAUGGAAUUCCGCGUGUAGCAGUGAAAUGCGUAGAGAUGUGGAGGAACACCGAUGGCGAAGGCAGCCUUCUGGGCCAACACUGACGCUCAUGCACGAAAGCGUGGGGAGCAAACAGG